AUAAUAAUAAUAUAUUCCAUCUCACUCAUCUGCCACUUCGCAUGGCUUUGGCAAGGGAAUGACCGUCUUUUCCCAUGACACGGCCGUGGAUCUGCCUCCUCACCUCAGUUUAAGGUGUAUAUAAUUUUUUUUAUUGAUCUUUUGCUGGCAGUGAAGCUUCUUGAGAGGAUUUCUUUGGACUGCCAUGGCUUCUCCUUGUGUUCUUCCAUGGGUGUUUGUUUAGAUGCUUUUUUUUUUUUUAUUGCUUGCUUGCAUGGACUUUUUAGAUUUUGGAGCACUAGAUCCUCUUCUUCGUCAGUUCAUAUGGCUCGACAUGUGUAGCAAGAACGAGAUAGUUGGUGGUAUCUCGACGGUGACAUACGAGUGAGACACUGAUGAGAUCUCUCACUUCCACCUGUUGCAGCCAAAUUCUAGAUUUAGGAUUGUCUUCUAACGUCGGUCGGCUCUUGUUGUCUCAGAGGGUUUGUCAUAUGUGACUAGAGGACUAAUUGCGUAUUGAUAUAGUCCAAGAAUGGUAAAUCUAAGGACAUGCAUAAGAAAAGGAAUGUGUUUUAAUGCUAUUAUCACCAAAGAGUAUCCUUCGGGCCGGCCACCAUAUUUGCAGAGAGCAAUUCUGGUGUAGCUGUGAUGAAGGACGACAGUGAGAAGCUUCUUUCCAUUGGAUCAACUCUUUGAGUUGGGUAGCUUAUUGGGUAAGGUUUUUUGGGGCUUGGAUUUAGAUUUGUUUGUACUAUGAGUGAGUUACCUUGUUUUCAAUUGUUCUGGGCCUGAGGCCCAGUUUUGUAUUAAUAUUAAAACAAUAAUUUAA
rnacentral:lncRNA from 1 species